rnacentral:rRNA from 1 species
UACAGAGGUCUCAAGCGUUGUUCGGAUUUAUUGGGCGUAAAGGGUGCGUAGGCGGCGGAGUAAGUUGGGUGUGAAAUCCCGGGGCUCAACCUCGGAAUGGCAUUCAAUACUGCUUCGCUAGAGUACUGGAGAGGAGGCUGGAAUUUACGGUGUAGCAGUGAAAUGCGUAGAUAUCGUAAGGAAGGCCGGUGGCGAAAGCGAGCCUCUGGACAGUUACUGACGCUGAUGCACGAAGGCCAGGGGAGCAAACGGG